GUUGGGAAAGCAGCAUCUGGAAUAACCUGCCCUGUAAUAUUACAAUAUAAGGAUAUCAGUAGCCCUGUAUCCUCAGGCGUGUGAGUCGUCUCAGAAGGGCUCCAGGAGCUGAUCAGAAGUGGCUGAGAGAUGGAGAACCCUCUCUUCAGUAAGAAAUGUAACAGAAGAGAAGGAUGGUUAUGAUGGCUGUCAUCAAGUAUUUCAAAUCAACCAUUCAAGCAAUCAAAAUAACGAAACCUGAAUAUUUUCAAAAACCAAACUUUGGAGCUGAAGGUACCACCAUUUCAACAGCUGAGGUCCCACCAUUUCAACAGCUGAUCUCUGAGCAUGUCUGAAGAAUUCAAGAAAACUGUUCCAAAAAGGGAGGUAAGUACAAAAUCUGUCAUGGGUUACAAUUUAUUUGUAUGAAACAGCACUAUGAGAGGCUCUAAUA
rnacentral:lncRNA from 1 species